GACGAACGCUGGCGGCGUGCCUAACACAUGCAAGUCGAGCGGGGAUGAUGGAGAGCUUGCUCAAAGCGGAUAAGGAUUCCCACCUAGUGGCAGACGGGUGAGUAACACGUGGGUGACCUACCUUCAAGUUGGGGAUAACAGUUGGAAACGAUUGCUAAUACCGAAUGAUAUGCAACAGUCAAUGUUGUAUUGAAAGGAGCCUUUAAAGCUUCGCUUAAAGAUGGGCCUGCGGCGUAUUAACUAGUUGGUGAGGUAACGGCUCACCAAGGUAACGAUGCGUAGCCGAACUGAGAGGUUGAACGGCCACACUGGGACUGAGACACGGCCCAGACUCCUACGGGAGACAGCAGUUAGGAAUAUUCGUCAAUGGGGAAACCCUGAACGAGCAAUGCCGCGUGAGUGAUGAAGGUCUUUGGAUUGUAAAAC
rnacentral:rRNA from 1 species